rnacentral:misc_RNA from 1 species
AGCGGUGGAUCACUCCUUACCUGAAGAACCUGCCUUUGUAGUGUCCACACAGAUUGUCUGAUGAAAAAUAAGCAGUAAAAAAUCUCUGCAGGCUUGUAGCUCAGGUGGUUAGAGCGCACCCCUGAUAAGGGUGAGGUCGGUGGUUCAAGUCCACUCAGGCCUACCAAAUUUCUGCUGAUGCUGCGUUGCGGCGACACUCACAUACUGUAAGUAUGCUUCGUGUCACCACGCCUUGCUUCAACAGAAAUUAAGGUUGAUGAGAUUUCACUACGAUGGGGCUAUAGCUCAGCUGGGAGAGCGCCUGCUUUGCACGCAGGAGGUCUGCGGUUCGAUCCCGCAUAGCUCCACCAUCUUUUCCGGCCCCCCCCAAGAAACUCCAAGGGCCCCAAAAGGGUCCCCGGGAAAUUUUUUUAAAAACUGGCAGUUAAAAAUGGAACCACCCCCCGCUUAUGGGGGGUCCAAUUCCCAAUUUUUGCCACGACAUCAAGGUUCCCCAAACCUCUUCCGGUGGGAGGGUAACCACUUAACCUACCCCGGGGACCCUGGA